ACUAUAAGUUCAAGCAAUAUGGGUUUAGUCCACACACACACACCUAAUGCAGUUUGAAGAUAGAAAGGGAUUGUAACUGAGGGAAGAGCAAUGGAAGGGGGAAGAAAUAUUAGAGCAGUUUUCUUGAUGUUCUUAGUGAUGUUUGUGGUUGCACGGCAUACCUCAGCCAUAUCGUUUGUCAAAUGCUUCGAAUGCGGCGAAUGCCUCGGACAAGGCAAGUCAUGGACUGAAUGUGGUGAUGAUUGCUGGUACUGUAUUUUACCGGCUCAAGCUUCCCAUAAUUUAGAUACAAAUUCCAAUUGUAUCACUAGCUGUGCCCAAUCCUUGUGCUCCACUCACAUCAAUGAUGACAGAAAAUUGGGAGGGUGCAUGAGUUCUUGUUCCAAAAGUUGUGGCAGGAACUAAGGCAAUCCAAUGAAGAACAAGUCCCAGAUGUUGCAGUCAAAAUCCUCAAAUCUGAUAUGAGAAAAUAAGGGAUCAAAGAAUAAUGUAAUCUAUAUAAUAAGAAGCCUUGACACAUUGUAGAAGAGGCUACUUAAUUAAUAAAAAGGAUUUGCCAAUUUAUCUAGCAA